GCCCAAGUGGUGAAAUGGCAGACACGCUGGCUUCAGGAGUCAGUGCUCGUAAGGGCGUGGGAGUUCGACUCUCCCCUUGGGCACCA
rnacentral:tRNA from 1 species